rnacentral:hammerhead_ribozyme from 1 species
AUCCAGCUGACGAGUCUCAAAUAAGACAAAACGCGCGACCUGGAA